UUACGUAGCCUCAUCUUACAACUUUGAGUAUUGCGACUAGGCUAAAGUGAGUGCUAUGAAGCUUGCUGUUGUUUCGAUCUUGCUCGCUGCACUAAUUCACGUUGGGGCCCUCAACACUAAGAAGCCGUUAUCACAAUACCCACCAGGAAAUACGAGAACAGAUCGAGAAAUGUCAUCUUCAAAGAUGUGCUUACGUUAGCACUCCGUAUAAUAAAAACUAUAGCAAAUGCCCUAAAGGAUGCACAUGCAAGCCCAAACUAGGUUUCAGCAGCAUCGGUUUCUGUGUCAUUGAAAAUAAGCCGGUGCCUCCCUCCUUAUACGACCAGCACCUGCACCUCUUAAACUAAGGAUUGUUAUGUUUGCGAAAUGUUCAUGGCUGAACUACUUGGCGAUAAGUGCAAUAAAAGUAU